rnacentral:rRNA from 1 species
GAUGAACGCUGGCGGCGUGCCUAAUACAUGCAAGUCGAGCGAACAGACGAGGAGCUUGCUCCUCUGACGUUAGCGGCGGACGGGUGAGUAACACGUGGAUAACCUACCUAUAAGACUGGGAUAACUUCGGGAAACCGGAGCUAAUACCGGAUAAUAUAUUGAACCGCAUGGUUCAAUAGUGAAAGACGGUUUUGCUGUCACUUAUAGAUGGAUCCGCGCCGCAUUAGCUAGUUGGUAAGGUAACGGCUUACCAAGGCAACGAUGCGUAGCCGACCUGAGAGGGUGAUCGGCCACACGGGAACUGAGACACGGUCCAGACUCCUACGGGAGGCAGCAGUAGGGAAUCUUCCGCAAUGGGAGAAAGCCUGACGGAGCAACGCCGCGUGAGUGAUGAAGGUCUUCGGAUCGUAAAACUCUGUUAUUAGGGAAGAACAAAUGUGUAAGUAACUAUGCACGUCUUGACGGUACCUAAUCAGAAAGCCACGGCUAACUACGUG